AUUGAACGCUGGCGGCAGGCCUAACACAUGCAAGUCGAACGGUAACAGGAAGAAGCUUGCUUCUUUGCUGACGAGUGGCGGACGGGUGUGUAAUGUCUGGGAAACUGCUUGAUGGAGGGGGAUACCUACUGGAAACGGUAGCUAAUACCGCAUAAUGUCUCAAGCCCAAAGAGGGGGACCUUCGGGCCUCUUUCCAUUGGAUGUUCCCAGAUUGGAUUAGCUAGUAGGUGGGGUAACGGCUCACCUAGGCGACGAUCCCUAGCUGGUCUGAGAGGAUGACCAGCCACACUGGAACUGAGACACGGUCCAGACUCCUACGGGAGGCAGCAGUAGGGAAUAUUGCACAAUGGGCGCAAGCCUGAUGCAGCUAUGCCGCGUGUAUGAAGAAGGCCUUCGGGUUGUAAAGUACUUUCAGCGGGGAGGAAGGGAGUAAAGUUAAUACCUUUGCUCAUUGACGUUACCCGCAGAAGAAGCACCGGCUAACUCCGUG
rnacentral:rRNA from 1 species